CAGUAGCCGCGGGAAUACGAAGGGGGCUAGCGUUGCUCGGAAUUACUGGGCGUAAAGGGCGCGUAGGCGGACAGUUAAGUCGGAGGUGAAAGCCCGGGGCUCAACCUCGGAAUUGCCUUCGAUACUGGCUGUCUUGAGUGUGAGAGAGGUGUGUGGAACUCCGAGUGUAGAGGUGAAAUUCGUAGAUAUUCGGAAGAACACCAGUGGCGAAGGCGACACACUGGCUCACUACUGACGCUGAGGCGCGAAAGCGUGUGGAGCAAACAGGAUUAGAUACCCCCGUAGUCCCUGUCUCUUAUAC
rnacentral:rRNA from 1 species